rnacentral:rRNA from 1 species
CAGCAGCCGCGGGAAUACGUAGGUGGCAAGCGUUGUCCGGAAUUAUUGGGCGUAAAGCGCGCGCAGGCGGUUUCUUAAGUCUGAUGUGAAAGCCCCCGGCUUAACCGGGGAGGGUCAUUGGAAACUGGGAGACUUAGAGUGCAGAAGAGGAGAGUGGAAUUCCAUGUGUAGCGGUGAAAUGCGUAGAUAUAUGGAGGAACACCAGUGGCGAAGGCGACUCUCUGGUCUGUAACUGACGCUGAGGCGCGAAAGCGUGGGGAGCAAACAGGAUUAGAUACCCGUGUAGUCCCUGUCUCUUAUU